GUUUUCAGGUAACGUUACUGAUGACGUUCAAACAGGCCUGCUUGUGUGUUUUGAGAAAUAUCUUUAUACUGCAAGGCUAUAUUCAUUUUAUUUUUAUUUGUUAUUUUUA